AUUGAACGCUGGCGGCAGGCCUAACACAUGCUAGUCGAACGAGUGGCGGACGGGUGAGUAAUGUCUGGGAAACUGCCCGAUGGAGGGGGAUAACUACUGGAAACGGUAGCUAAUACCGCAUACCAUCGGAUGUGCCCAGAUGGGAUUAGCUCGUAGGUGGGGUAACGGCUCAACUAGGCGACGAUCCCUAGCUGGUCUGAGAGGAUGACCAGCCAAACUGGAACUUAGACACGGUCCAGACUCGUCCGGGAGUAAGCAGUGGGGAAUAUUGCACAAUGGUGUCAAGCCUGAUGCAGCCAUGCCGCGUGUAUGAAGAAGGCUUUCGGGUUGUAAAGUACUUUCAGCGAGGAGGCGUUACUCGCAGAAGAAGCACCGGCUAACUCCGUGCCAGCCGCCGCGGUAAUUC
rnacentral:rRNA from 1 species